rnacentral:rRNA from 3 species
GCAUAUCAAUAAGCGGAGGAAAAGAAACCAACAGGGAUUACCUCAGUAACGGCGAGUGAAGCGGUAAGAGCUCAAAUUUGAAAGCUGGCUCCUUCGGGGUCCGCAUUGUAAUUUGCAGAGGAUGUUUCGGGAGCAGCCCCCAUCUAAGUGUCCUGGAACGGACCGUCAUAGAGGGUGAGAAUCCCGUAUGGGAUGGGGUGUCUGCGCCCAUGUGAAACUCCUUCGACGAGUCGAGUUGUUUGGGAAUGCAGCUCUAAAUGGGUGGUAAAUUUCAUCUAAAGCUAAAUAUUGGCCGGAGACCGAUAGCGCACAAGUAGAGUGAUCGAAAGAUGAAAAGCACUUUGAAAAGAGAGUUAAAAAGCACGUGAAAUUGUUGAAAGGGAAGCGCUUGCGAUCAGACUCGCCUUGGGGGUUCAGCCGGCAUUCGUGCCGGUGUACUUCCCCCAGGGCGGGCCAGCGUCGGUUUGGGUGGCCGGUCAAAGGCCCUUGGAAUGUAACGCCUCUCGGGGCGUCUUAUAGCCAAGGGUGCCAUGCGGCCUACCUGGACCGAGGAACGCGCUUCGGCUCGGACGCUGGCAUAAUGGUCGUAAGCGACCCGUCUUGAAACACGGACC